rnacentral:precursor_RNA from 13 species
CCUCCCGGUGCUCUCUGUGCCCUGGCGGGAUGAGGUAGUAGGUUGUGUGGUUUCAGGGGAGUGAUUUUGCCCCAAUCAGAAGAUAACUAUACAGCCUACUGCCUUCCCUGGUGGGCUUACGUCCUCACCGUCACCUC